GAGCACCAGUUCAGCAGCACACAUACUAAAACUGGAAUGACACAGAGAAGUUUAGCAUGGUCCCUUUGCCAGGAGGAAGCGCAAAUUCCUGAAGUGUUCCAUAUUUAA